CCCAGCAAGGCUCUCUGGGCCACUGAUGAUGUGUCCUCUUCUUCCAAACCUUCCAUCUCUUCUCUGCACUUGGGGGAACUCAGGAUUCUCUAAGGACUGUGCUCCUUCCUGCAGAUGUGUGCCCACAUGUUGCCUCUGUUGUCUCCCAGGCUCUUCCUCAGCCCCCAUAGACUAGCGAAAUCCUCAGGAGUCAGCUCAGACUUGCCCUUCCCUGGAAGCCUGCCAGAGAGCUCCCAAUAUGUUUAGUUUCUGUCCUCACCACCCAGUGCCUGCCUCUGGGACAGCACUUAGCCCACAGGAUGACAGUGGCUGGCUUUCAUGUCUCUUCCCUGACAGACCCUCAAUCUUCAAGCUGAUCCGGGACAAUGGACUGAAUGCCAUCAUGAGCCUCAAUGGACUUACCUGUAAGAAGGGUCACGUGAGAUUCCAACGCUAAUGAGCGUGAAAGGUUUUUGCAAACAGGAACUGCAGCACAAAGGAGAGGCAUGAAUCCUUGAGCGAUUAAGACAGUGGGAGUGACGGGGCAGAGUCACCACGGAGACACACCACUGUGAAAUGAAUGGCGGGACUGCACUGAACGGCAGAAUGUUUGAGGGCUUGGUCAUACAGCUGGAGGGAAGAGUGAGACCAGGAAGAGCUGAAACGCGGCCUCUCCAUCCCUGUUACAGCAGCACCUUUCUCACUGGGCUGCAGGCACCCUGACCGCAAAGGUGUUCUCACAACCCCGCAGGGUCUUGCUCCUCCCUGUGCCGCCAAGCUUGCCACUCCAUCUGCCUGGCACGCUCAUCCCCGCCAUCCCCAUCACUGGCUUCCCAUUGUCCCCUGGGUCUUGUCCUUGAGGAAGCCUCACAAGUCAUCCUGUCUAAGUAGCACUGUUGGUCUUCUCCAUAGAACCUUCUCUUCCUUUCCUGGCAUCUAUAUCAUCCUGGAACCAUUUUAUCUGCGUGUUCACCUGUCCAACCACACUGCGAUGGUUUUAAAAUAUGUUCUUAAUUCUUAGACACUCCUUCCUUCCAAAGGCAGAGUGUCAUUCCUCUCCUUUUGAGUGUGGGCUGGACUUAGUGAUCCCGUUCUGCAGAUGAGAACAUGGCAGAAGAGGUGCUGUUAGGACUUCUGGGCUGGGUCACGAAAGGACAGCUGCUGGCUGGCCUGCUGUCUUUUGGACUGCUCUCCCCAGGGGCAGCCAGAUGCUACAUCGUGAUGACACUCAAGCAGUCCUACCCAGAGGCCCAUGUCAGAAGGAACGAAUGCCUCUCACCCACAGGCAGCACCAACUCGCCAGCCACGGCUACGAGCUGCUUUAGAAGUUGACUCAGCCCAGUCGAGCCUUCAGAUAACUGCAGACCCAGCCAACAUCAGAUGGAACCUACAAGAGAAUAAGUCCUGGUCCCGACCUGCCCAGCCAAGCUGGUCCUGAAUUCCUGACCCACAGAAGCUGCAAGAAUAAUGUCUCCUGCUACUUUAAGCCACUAUGUUUUGGCAUAUUAGGUAGCAAUGGAGGAUUAAUAUAAAUGUUGAAAUGCUAUGAUUCCUCAUUUCAUGGACAAGGAAACUGAGCCACAGAGAAUUUACACGGCUCACCUAAGGCCACACAGAGUCAGAAUUUGGACAGAGGCAGUCUGAUUCCAGAGUCCACACCCCUGAGCCCUGUACUACAACCUCCCUCCAAACAAGGCACCAUCUCAAACAGUGUCAUUUUUCCUGUGAAGCCCCGAUUAGGUGGUGGGCAGGCACAGGAUCUUUCCCUCCCCAGACAGAUGUAAGUCCAACAGCGUGAGGCUUCUGACAGCUUGGUGCUCCACACAGGGCAGGGGUGCAGAGUCCUGCCUGACCACCAGCCAUCCAGCUGUCACGAGCCAGUACCCUUGCUCCUGGGUCUGACUGGAACUUCAGGCGAGUGUCUCAUGCUUAAGAACCUGCCUUUUUCCUUUUAUCCCUAUGUUUUGGGAUGCAAGAAAAUGCCUCUCAGAUGUGGUGUGGUCUCCUGGCACCUCACCUAGGAUGGGAGGCCUGGGAUAGAGAAAGGCUCAGGUUCCUCCUGUCUCACCUGGGCUGGGAAUGAAGGACUGUUCUCCCUUCUCUUCAACAUACAUUCUGGAGGCGGGGUGGGGAACUGUCUUAGGCCUGGGUCAAGAGGGGAGGGCCAGACGGUCUUGGGCUGAGUGUGCUGAGCUCAGAGAGGCACAUGUGGAUGAGACAAAGCCAGGCAGGUCAGGGAAGAGCCAGAAGAAAGAUGCACUUUGUGGGUCCUAGGCAUCUGGGUUCCAGGCUAGGGAAACUGGGCAGGGAAGCCUUGCCAGGGGACGCCCCUUAGAGUAAGGGCCAAUGGUGGUGUUGCGUGUGUGUGUGCUAUGUGCUGUAUGUGGUGUACGUGUGGUAUGUGUGGUGUGUGUGCUGUAUGUGUGUUGUGUGUGCAUGUGUGUGCGAUGUGUGUGUAUGUAUUGUGUGUGUGUGUGCAUGUCUGUGUGUGUGGUGUGUGCCAUAUGUGGUAUAUGUGUGUUGUGUGUGGUAGUGUAAUGUGUGUAGAGUGGUGUCUGUGUAUGUGCUGUGUGUCUUGUGUGUAUUAGUGUGUGUAUAUUUGUGUGUUGUAUGUAGUGUGUGUGUAUAUUUGUGUGUGUUGUAUGUAGUGUGUGUGUAUAUUUGUGUAUGUGGUGUGUGUGUUGUGUUGUGUGUGUAUAUUUGUGUGUGUUGUGUGUAUGUAGUUUGUGUGUAUAUUUGCGUGUGUGUUGUGUGUAUGUAGUGCAUGUGUAUAUUUGUGUGUGUGGUGUGUGUCGUGUGUGUGGUAUGUGUGUAUGUGUUGUGUGUAUGUAGUGUGUGUGUAUAUUUGUGUGUGUUGUGUGUAUGUAGUAUUUGUGUAUGUGUUGUGUGUUGUGUUGUGUGUGUAUAUUUGUGUGUUGUAUGUAGUUUGUGUGUAUAUUUGCGUGUGUGUUGUAUGUAGUGCAUGUGUAUAUUUGUGUGUGUGGUGUGUGUCGUGUGUGUGGUAUGUGUGUAUGUGUUGUGUGUAUGUAGUGUGUGUGUGGUAUGUGUGCAUAUGUUGUGUAUAGUGUUGUGUGUCGUGUGGUGUCUCUGUGCGUGUCUGUGUGCGGUGCAUGUUCAUGCACUCACUUUUGCACCUGCAACCCAUGCUCACUGUGCUACACUUUCCACACCUUUUGCCCCAGACCCUGAUAAGGUCCAGGGAGGAGGGUGGUGAGGAAUGCCUGCAACGAUUUAAUUAGGAAUAAAGAGGAGUUGCUGAUCUGGUUUAGGGCGGGCCAGGAGUCUUUUAGCUCCAGAAGGACAGGGGUGUCUGUCAGCUGUUUGCUGCUCAUAAAUUCCCCAGUGUGUGUGCAGGAUUGCACCUAUCCUCUGAGCUACCUGAUGCUGGGGUCUUGACCAGAUAAGAACACCAAAUAUCCUCUUCCUUUCUCAUUAGUAGACAGGCCAGGCCCAUCUGAACCCACUCCUCUGGCUCCCUGAGGAGUGUUUGGGUGUCCCCGCACUUAGCAUCCAGCACAGAUGGCUCCUUCCAAAGCCACACUCCAGUGGCUUCUUUGGGGUGGAUGUAGACGCUCAGCCCAUGGAGAGCAGCUCAUCUAAGUUACAGCCCUUUAGAGUAAGGGAUGUGGAUGAACAGGUGAGAGGCUUCCUGCUCGUCAUUAGAAAUUUUUAAAAACCACGUGGUCCACAGGUCUUGAGGCCAAGGCUGAUGGGCUGGCUGGGCAGGAGCCACAGGAAGAAAUCCACAGGUGCUGGCCAUGUGGAACUGCCUGCCAAGUUUGCUGGAAGCAGAGCCCGUUUCUUUUUUCGGCAGCCUGAAUAAGAGGCAAUGGGGACCCUGUUGAGGUCAACUCUUGUAUGUUACCAACGCCCACAGCUGUGUGCCUCCUCUGAGGACAUUCGAGUGGGCUCACCACGAUGACAUGGGCCUUCUGCUGGGGAGGCUGGGCCAUUCGGUGACCUGUGGCGCUGCGCUGUGUGAUGAUUGCUGAUCAGCUGUGGCUCCCAGGCCAGCUUACACAUGACGAUCCCCUGGGGAGGUUUUAAAGAUUCCAGUGCCUGAGCCCCACUCCAAGCCAAUGAAAUCCCAGCCUCUGGAAGUAGGGCCUGGCAUGGGCCUGUCUGCAACACGCCCCAGCUGUUCCUAAUGGGCAGCCCGGGGGUAAGAAUCAGCGACUGAGAAUAACGAUGUUCCAAUCUUGAUUCAGCCGGGGAAAUCUUUCUUCACACAGAUGCUACUGGAGUGAACACAAGCAGAUGAAAACAGGGCUGUCUAAAUGACACGCAGCCACCAGUGACUGCCCGGGCUCCCGAGAAAUCCAGAUUCAUCAGGACCCACUGAUUUGGGCAUCUGAUGAUGGCAUGUGAGGAGGAAUUUUCCAAAGUUUCUGGGAGAGUACAAGGUGAGUCAUAGAUGAAAUACCACCUAUGGAAACUGACAGUCGCUGCUAUGCCUUUCUUGGACUAUGCUCCAUACUGUGGGUAACAGCUUCAGCAAAGAAUUUGACCUCAAGCAAGAUGAACUCCAAAUAACGCAUAAAGUAACAUCAACAUGAUGCAGUGUGUGUGAAACAGAUCUCGGUCCCGUAAGAGCAAAAGAGAAGGACAAAUCAGAUCAUCACACGGGAUGUCUUUUUUGUGCGAUUUUGCAUUUUCCCAUUCAAAACAAAAAAUAAAUAAUAAAUUUGAAGCUACUCACUCAUGGAUUCUGUCAGCUUGGCCAUUGUUGCAGUUUCUUCUUUGUGCUUUUCCUGGAGGUGAGAAGAAAAGAC
rnacentral:lncRNA from 10 species